rnacentral:rRNA from 1 species
CUCAAAGUUGGAACCUGUUUGGCCUAGCUAAACCGGAUUGUAAACUGUAGAAGUGUUUUCCAGGCAAGCCGGACCGAUAAGUCCUUUGGAACAGGGCAUCAUAGAGGGUGAGAAUCCCGUCUUCGGUCUGAGCAUUUGCCUUUUGCGAUACACUUUCAAAGAGUCAGGUUGUUUGGGAAUGCAGCCUAAAUUGGGUGGUAAAUCUCACCUAAAGCUAAAUAUUGGCGAGAAACCGAUAGCGAACAAGUACCGUGAGGGAAAGAUGAAAAGAACUUUGAAAAGAGAGUUAAACAGUAUGUGAAAUUGUUAAAAGGGAACCGUUUGGAGCCAGACUGGCUUGUCUGUAAUCAGUCUAAGCUUCGGCUUGGAUGCACUUGCAGGCUAUGCCUGCCAACGACAAUUUGGCUUGAGGGAAAAAACUAAGGGAAAUGUGGCCCAUCCGCGGGUGUUAUAGUCCCUUAGAAAAUACCUUGGGCUGGAUUGAGGUACGCAGCGAAUGCUAUUUGGCGAGUUGGCUGGGAAUAUUUUCUGAGGUGCUUUGGUACUGAGGUUGAUAUUCCUAGUUACAUUCUAUU